CUUCUCCAGGGGAUUGCUCAGCUACCUGGUGUCUUCCUCCCUGCGCUCUUUCCCCAGUCUGUGCGCCCUCGUUCCCUCUGCUGGCUCGCCCCUUCCCCUGCCGAGCAGCUCGCCGCGCCCAGGCGAGUUCACCCCUGCGCGCUCCUCUCCGUCGAGCUCCCUGCGCAGCGGCUUCCUUUCCCCGCUCCAGCUCCAGCUUCUUCCCUGGGCCGCCGCGUCCCCCUACUUUUCCAUGGCCGAGCGUCCUCUUCAUCUCCCAGGUCGACCUCCUCCUGCUCUCAGCGUCCUUCCUCUGCUCGCCCAGCCCCUUCUCCUGCCGUGACCCCGCCUUGGUCCCAUGGCGCUCGGCUCCUUCCGGAUCCAGGAACGGUCGCUGGUGUCUUCUCCAAGGCGUUUGUCUCCCUAUGCGCGCUCUCUCUUUGCUUCUCCCUUCUCUGCCCGGUCGCCCCAGCUUCCAUGGCUGCUUGCAAAGUCCCUCUGUUGGCCACGCAGACCUCCUGGCCGCGGGCGGCUCUGGCCCAGGUCGCCGUUGCGCCCUCCCCAAGUUGCCACGUCAUCGUGGCUGGUGUUCACUUACGUUGGAUCUUUUAUGGGCUUGGCCCAUUUAUUGAAUAAACUCUAUUGUGUGUAAUGGUGGAGAAUACCAAUAUUACCACAUUGGAAGUCCAAGGGUCUUUUGCCUUGACUUAUAUGGUGAUAUUUAUUCCACUUAACUUGAGAAGUCAAGAAAUGGACAAGGGUGUGGCGCGCCGCCGGUCGGGCCGGGAC
rnacentral:misc_RNA from 1 species